UCCCAGCGGUCCGAGUCGUGGCCACAUUUAUUAGGUCUAAAACAUUCGUAGCUUGCUUUGUAAGUUCUUUGUGAAAUUGUUGCACUUAAUGCAACAGCGUGCAAGGGAGACUGCAAUGCUAGAGACCGGGAGACAUAACGAGUACAUUCAAGGUAGCGGUAAAAUGUUUUAAUCUUGGAUGGACUGACAAUGGCGAAGGCACGUUAUGAGAACGGAUCUGACAGUGAGGAAUGAAGGCCCGGGGCGCAAAAUG
rnacentral:rRNA from 1 species